rnacentral:lncRNA from 12 species
AAAAAAAAAAAAAAAAAAAAAAAAAAAAAAAAAAAAAAAAAAAAAAAAAAAAAAAAAAAAAAAAAAAAAAAAAAAAAAAAAAAAAAAAAAAAAAAAAAAAAAAAAAAAAAAAAAAAAAAAAAAAAAAAAAAAAAAAAAAAAAAAAAAAAAAAAAAAAAAAAAAAAAAAAAAAAAAAAAAAAAAAAAAAAAAAAAAAAAAAAAAAAAAAAAAAAAAAAAAAAAAAAAAAAAAAAAAAAAAAAAAAAAAAAAAAAAAAAAAAAAAAAAAAAAAAAAAAAAAAAAAAAAAAAAAAAAAAAAAAAAAAAAAAAAAAAAAAAAAAAAAAAAAAAAAAAAAAAAAAAAAAAAAAAAAAAAAAAAAAAAAAAAAAAAAAAAAAAAAAAAAAAAAAAAAAAAAAAAAAAAAAAAAAAAAAAAAAAAAAAAAAAAAAAAAAAAAAAAAAAAAAAAAAAAAAAAAAAAAAAAAAAAAAAAAAAAAAAAAAAAAAAAAAAAAAAAAAAAAAAAAAAAAAAAAAAAAAAAAAAAAAAAAAAAAAAAAAAAAAAAAAAAAAAAAAAAAAAAAAAAAAAAAAAAAAAAAAAAAAAAAAAAAAAAAAAAAAAAAAAAAAAAAAAAAAAAAAAAAAACUAUAUCAUAUUAUAUCUCAUAUUUUUAUUAUAUGAUGACAUAAUAUUAACAUCCAUGUUUCAUACGACAUUAACCUAUAUAUAUAUAUAUAUAUAUAUAUGCAUUAGCACAGUCAUUGCUGAUAGAGUCAGUUUAGUGUUUGUGGUCUUUGUUCAGCAAUGGUAGCCAUAAAAAUUUCAACAUAACAGAAACUCUUUUAAAUGUCAAACAUAACAGCAUUAAAAAACAGGUCUUUCCCUUCACUAAAAGGAACAUAAAAUAACACUCAAUUUCAACAUUUACUUUACUUAUACAAAGCAUGCUGGGAACUAUACAAUCCACUACUCAAUUUCCAAAGUUAACAAGAAAAUUUUAUUAAGUUACUAAAACUUAAUUUUUAAAGAAAUUCAAUUAACAGAAGUGUGAGUUUAAA